CACAACCAGAAGGACCUGCAACUAGAAUAUACAACUAAGUACUGGGGGGCUUUGGGGAGAAGAAGAAAAAGGAAAAAAUUCAAAAUCAAACACGCCUCCAUCCUUGAGCUUAAGAAAGUUAUUGCAAAAGAAAUAAAAGGAUGCCAACUCUCACUCUCGCUGGCACCUGUGGCUCCCGUUACAUUUGUGUUGGACAGCACUGGCCUGGAAUAUAAUACACCCUUUCUCGAAUAUUGGUAUCCCCAUUUUACCGAUGAACAAACCAGCUCAGAGGUUGAGUGGCUUGACCAGGGACACGAGCUAAUGACCUGCAGAAGCCAGAAUUCACAUCACAAGAGGCCGGUGAUCCUGGUGGGACAGUCUACUCCUCGAUGAAAGUCCUAAAACAAGGGAUGUGCUGUUGUUUUGACAAGAUCUUAUGCCGACGUGUUUAGUCCCACGAAGGACUGAAGCCACUUUGGAAUCUGGGGAAAAUAAAAUAAAAACCUGUGACUCAGGGCUUAGGGGGACCUCCUGACACUAGCCAAGAAUGUCAAGGCGCAGGAUAAUUCUUAGUGCGCUGUGCUCGGGCAGGCUUUUCCAUUCUCUGUGUGGACUUGGGCCAGUCCCUUCCCCUCUCUGGGACUCAGCUUCUCCAUCUGUGAACAGAGGGACCGGAUUAACUGUUCUCUGAGGUCCAUCAGGAUCCAUGGUGCAUCUCAGCAGAUCCCUCCCUCCCUGUGGUUGAGAGUGAGUUUGAGAGCCACUUGCUGGGUCCUGGGGCAAGUGACAGUUCUCUUGUGUCCUCUGUGAGACGGGGAUGAGGACAGUGUGGACUUCAGAGAGCUUCUCUGAGGAUUAAUGAGCUAGUUCAGGUGAUGCACUCAGCACUUGCCUGGCACACAGGAAGUGCCCAGUAAAUGCUUGCCCUUGUCGUCAGCGCAGCAGAAACCAAGUUGACCUGCUGGCUUAGAGAGUUCUCGGUCAGCAGACUCAGAUUCACAAGCAGCAUCUGCCUUGGAGCCUCCCCUUAGCCUGACACACUCAAAUGCCGAAUUUGAUCCAAGGUAGGUUCACCUUGGACUUGGCUUUUGAAGGUUUUGUUACCAGGGGAACUCAAUUCCCUGAUUGCACGGGUAACAGAAGCACCAAGAAGAGGGCAACUUCGGGAGGGCCCAGAGGACAGUACUGCAGAGGGAGACUCCACGUUCUUGCACUAGAGCAUCUUCCGGCGUAUUCGGAGGAAGGCAGGAAACGUCCACCUCCCAGGCGAUGCGUUAGUUCUUAGUGUCACUUCUUUCCCUCGGUGGUAGCGGGAAAAUGUCACUUUGCCAUCCUUUGGAGGAGGGAUGCAGAUCCCCGGCUGCAGACCUUUUUCACCCCCUUUUCCCACCGUGGGAGGACUGGGACCUCGGUUCUUCUCAACAGCUGUUUUCAGUUUUUCACCGUGAAUUGUGGGUAAACAGCCUCCUGUAUCAGAUAAAGGCUCUAUCAGCUCAGCAGCUCACCUCCUACAUACACCCUCUUUCUCAUGAAUACAAGUCUGCCUUAGGAGUAAGUUGAACUCGAUUUUGUUUCCUGGGUUGCUAUCUUGAACUAAUAACUGGGAGGAACCUUGAGUUCAGCGUAGGCUCCCGGCUGUCUCUGGCGUUCACCGGCUGCCAUCUGCUGGGCAAUCCUGGUAUGACAUGGUCUCCCUGGCUAGCAGGCUGUUUCACCAGGGGUGAGGAGGUUUGCCCAUUCAAUCAAAAAAUAUUUAUUGAACAGAAACUGUGUGCCAGGCAUAGUUCUAGGCCAUUGGGAUUCCUCAGUGAACAAAACAGACAAGUAUUUCUGUUCUUCUGGAAGAUACAUUCUUGCAGGUGGUCACAGGCAAUCGACAAGAAACAUAAUAAAGAAUACCGUAUGCCAGAAAGCGAUAAGUGCGUGGAAAAAAAAUUUAAAAGUGGAAGAUGUAAGGUGGAUGGGAAGUGCUGGGUGGGGGAGGUGAGUUGCAGUUUUAAAUAGUUUUCAUGGUCAGCCUCAUUGAGAAGGUGACUUUUGAAUAAAGGAUUGAAGGAAAUGAAGGACUUUGCCAUGGAAGAAGAGUGUACCUGGCGGAAGGGAUGGGCUGCAAAGGCCCUGGGGUAGGAAUGUGCUCUGUGCAUUCAGGGAAUCCCAAGCAGGCCAGGGUGGCUGGAGAAAGCAAGCAGGGAAGAGGAGUCUGAGAGGUGGUCAGAAAGCAGGCGAGGGGCUGGACAUGCAGGGUCUUGUGGGCCAUUGUUUAAGGACCGUGGCUGUCUUGAUUGGCUUGGGGCUGCCAUAACAAAUGCCACAGACUGGGUGGCUUACACAGAAAACUUUUGUUUCUCACAGUUCUGGAGGCUGAAAGUCCAAGAUCAAGAUGCCAGACGAUUCAGUUUCUUGUGAGGACCCACGUCCUGGCUUGUAAAGGGCCGACUUCUUGCUGUGCUCACGUGGCUGCUCCUCAGUUUCUUUCUGUCUUCUUCUUCUAAGGCCACUUAUCGCAUCAUAAGAGCCCCAUCCUCAUGACCUGAUGUAACCCUAGUUACCUCCCAAACAUUCCGUCUCCAAAUGCCAUCACAGCGGGGAUGAGGGCUCCAGUGUAUGAAUUUUAGGGGGAGACACAAACAUUCAGUUCUUUAACAUUGGCUUUUCCUUCAGAGAUGCUGUUCCAGAGAGGAAGCCGGGGCUGCAGUGCCACGAUGCUAAGACAUCUGGAAAAUGCUCUCAAAAACACAAGCCACUCUGGUAAUUCUCUUCAUUCAUUCAGCAAACAUGUACAUAACAUGCGGAAAAUAAAGUCAAACCACGUGUGUUGAAGAUCAGUAAACUGGGGCUCAGCGAGUUAUUGCGGCAACAGGAAGCUGUUCGUAUCAGAAUACGUAUCGCUGAAAAAAGCUGAAGAUGAGAGGCAGGGCCACUGAAAGACCCUCAGGAAGGUCCUGGAGCUGAACUGACACAGACCCCCUCAGGGAGACAGAUAGGGACCCUGCUAGCCACCCACUUCUGGAGGCUUCUGAGAUUGCUGCUGCAAUAACUUUAUCAUCAAGACCAUGUGCAUUUCAAGUCACAAAGGUCAGUUUCAUCCUUCUCUUCUCACUGCCCAGAGGCCCCUUGAGAUCUUGUGAAUUAAUGUUUGUUCCAGGAGAUCUGGUUUGCUGUUGGAAAUAAAGCAUCCAUCUGCCUAAGUCCAGCCGUCAAAAUUCCUUAAACAAUUUACUGUGAGGAAACAGUGUUGGUGUCUGCUUUCAGGGUUCACAGUGUGCGAAAGAUUACAAAAAAAUAAGAGGGAGCAGAGAGGAGAUAGUGUAGGGUGCUUUUAACUAUAACCAUCUUUUACACCUUUAGUCACAGUGUCUGCACGCUUUUUGAAGGCAAUUUCUUUGGGAAGCCGAGUAGACGGGAUAAUCUGAUGGUAAGGCCAGCUGGCCACAGUCACCACACAAACAGUUCUUAAGUGUGGACAAUUUCUGAAGAUGAGUGAAUAUGCUUUUCUACUUUGGAAAAUAAUGCUGAGAACUUGGUUUCAAUUUUGUAAUAUUUUCAUUCAACAAAGAGAUUGCCUAGAUCUGGAAGAUUUUUUUCACCCUUUCCUAUUUUUGAGGUGAGGUGACUUGCUAUAGGGGCCAGGGAUUUCCUGGGGGCCUAGGAUUGGGCAACUAUGUAACCUGAUGCCUGGGGAUGGCACAGGGUACCACUCCUGGGGAGCACCCCACACACAGUGGGAAGGGAGUGUGGCAGCAGCUACAGUCUCCUUGGAGCUGAGCCAAAGAAGGCACCAAGAUCAACAAGCAUUUCCAUAUCGAUUUGUCAGAGUCUCAAAGAACAGCCAAGGCCGAAGAAUCUGGAAAAUAAUGACAUAACCUAAUGGAGGGAAAACAAGAAUCCACAUCCCAGGAAUAAUUUAUGUCAAGCAACACAGGCUAUGCUGAGGCCAGCCAGAAAGAGAAUAUUGUCAUAUUAACGAGUCUGUCCAUUUUAAAAAUCAUUUGAUUUCAAUAAUCGCUGGGCACCUGAUUUGCUGAUUUUUUGUUGCUGCUGCUGACUUGACUAAUUUGAACUAAAUACGUCAAAAGGCAUAGACUCGUUGUUCGUUUAAUUUUUAGUGACACCUACUAUUCAGUUAAAUUCAGACACACCAAUCGCUCCUCCAGGGCUCCCCGUGGAGACCACCCUUGCCCACUGGGGGGACUGUUCAGGAAUCUUUUCUGGCCCCCUGCUUUAUGAGCACCUCGGGACUCUGCUUCCCCGCCUGUAAGAGCGAGGCAUGGCCAUGAGUCUUGCUUUGCCCCACGAAAUGUGUGCAGAAGUGCCACUUUGGGCAGAAAUUUCAAGCCAGUGUAUAAUUCACUCCAUCUUCUUCUGUCUUCUGUUGUGCUUGUGGAUAUGUGUGUCAAGACAAAGCCAUCCUGGGUCCCAAAGUAGUUUUGACAUGCAGAGCACCCCAUGCUGUCCUGCAAUGAACAGGUGGCAUGAACAAGAGAGAGCAUUUAUUAUGUAAAGCCGCUAAGAUCUGGUGCUUGUUACUGCAACAUAACCUGGCCUGUCCUCACUAUUGCACAUACACGCGCGCACACACACACACUCUUACUGAGUACCUUACUUACUUACUGUGUGUGCAAAGGAAGGAUCCAGGCCGUGGGGGGAAUUCAAGAUAAGACAUACCAUCUUUCUGUGAAGAGCUUACAAGCCGGUUUGGCAAAUAAGAUAUCUAGACAACCUAUAAUGAUAAUGACACGAGUGGAUAGUCCAAGAACGAAAUGACAAGAUGUUUGUGUAGCUGCAGCCUUAAGAAGGAAUUGAUCAGGUGGAGUCCAGGAUGAAUGUAAGAACGGCUCAUGUGCCAGGUGUCUCCUCUUGGCCCCUCCAGAUUCCUUCUUUACCCUUCUCCCGCCUGCUUCCUGCCCCGAGAGGCUGACCUGUGUGACCUGACUGCGUUAAUAAGCUCCUUUCCCUCUGGCUCCUGGUCAGGCUGGGUGCAGGAUGAGGACUUAGCAGAAGAUUGGAGGGAAGGAAGAGAAGGAAGAUGGGAUAUUUAUUCAUCUGGUUCCCUUCUCUCAGGGCCACUCAUGUUGGCUGCACCCCUCAGCUGAAGGUCCCAGCUCCUCUCAACAUGACCCUCCCUGUUUGACUGUCUCCUUCCAAAUUCCCAUAAUGCUCUCUUCCCUCACACCUGCAGGGCCAGUGAGAGCCCCACAAUCAGUUAUUAGCCCCAGUAUCCUCCGCUCUCCCUCUUGGUUUCCCUACACCCUGCCCACACAUUUGUAAAUCGUCCUUUUUUUAAGAAUCCUUAAAUUAUCCUAUUUUAAGCAUGCCAUCUGUUUCCUGAUAGACCUGACUAAUAGAUCUUGCUUUGGGGAGCCAGCAGCGGGAAGGAAAUGAUCAUGCUUUGUCUAAUUAUAGGGUCAGUUGGUAAAAGAGGCAGGAGGCUUUAAAAAUGACUAAUUCUUCAUUAAGCAAUGAAUUAUUAAAUGGCUUUGCUUCUCUCAUCCGAACUGAAAGAUUCUGCUCCAGUGAAGGGGAGGGCUGGAGGCAGAGCACCGGCCUCCACACCUGCGAUGAGCUAGGGGACCACCACGGGGCCUUUGAUCACAAAGCCCUUCGCAAAUGCUGGGGCCACAGGAGGCAACCACAAUGUAACGCCACCUCCAGGGAGCUUCCUGAGCCCCAUUCCCUGGCAAAGUUAACAGCAGAAUUCCAACCACUAUUUUCAACUUGAACCUGAGGCCAGAAGCCUAAUUUCCAUGCUCAAGGGAAGUUCUAGACCUUUCUUUUGAGUUCCCAUGUAUAGCAUAGAGCUGCUUGGGAAAGAGAUAACCAUCCCUUCGCUACAACUCUACGUUCUGGAAGUUGCCCUUUGUCCUGCCUUAGAUGCCUGUGGCAAAUUCACUGAAUUUAUUCAUUGUUUGGUGGGUUGGUUGGUUUUCCGUGUGGAAAGCCGAAGAAGCCUUUGAAAGAGUUGGGCUUGGGAGAGUUCUGGGCUUCAUUCUCUCUCUCCCACCCCCCUGGGCCCCCGCGCCUUAGCUGUCUCCCACUCUGGAAGGUGCAGCCAGGAGGAGCCUGGUACCUGCAGCCCCAGCAUUUCCCAGAGCAGCUGGAAUGAGCUGCUACUUGACUGCAGCUGCUGGGGCUGGAUCCGGGGGGCAGGUCUGCUCAGGCAUCCAGGAUGUAAAGUGAGAGGAAGGGCAGACAGCAAUUUGGAAGAUUUAGGAGUUCUUGGGCUGUCAUUGGGUUUUACUGUGUUGUCAUUGACAUAUGUUUGUAGUCUAUCUAGAGCAGGUAAGAGGUGGGGAGAAGGAAGGGAGGGCGUCCCCGUGUGCCAGGUCUGCAAAACCAAAAUCGGGCAGACCCGGAAAGACGGGAGCAGGGCGGUGGGGGUUGUCUGGAAGUCUGAGGAUCCUAUUUGCUCCCUGAGUGCCAGAGAAUGCAUGCCAGGGCCUGGGGCAGUUCCCACCAGGAAGCCACCGAGGGGUGAUAAAACUCACAGCCAUGAAGCUUGGUUAAGUCCCUGGACUUAACGACAUCUUUUCAAGCAAACAGCAGAGGUUUCUCAUUAUAAUCUUGAAGAAAGGCAGGGCUGUUGAACAGUGUAAGAGUUUCAGAAAAGCAGAGAGGAGAGAAGGCAGGACGGAGCAAGAGCAGAGUGCCUGCCCCAGCAACCUCAUGCUACUGGGCAGACGCUGGGAUGCACAUUCUGGAGUGGGGGAGAAGGAGCAAGUCCUAAGUGCUCGACUUCCUUCCAGAGAUGACCAGACUAAGUUCUGUGUGGAGGCUGCACGAGAGCAGCACCUUCACACUUUCAGAUGCACACGCAGCCCCUGCGGGUCUUGUGGAAACGCAGGUUCUGAUUCCGUAGGGCUGGCCUGAGAGUUUGCAUUUCUAACAAGCUCCUAGCUGAGGCCGAUUUUGCUGGUCCGUGGAACACACUUAGAACAAGUAACAAGCCAUGGGAGGAUGCUGCCGUGGCUCACUGACACUUGUGCUUCCCUCCAAACUAUUAUAAAACAAGCAGGUGUAGAUGACCCGGUCCGGCAGCCUGGGACGUUUGGUGAAAUGACCCGAUCCUUGGCCUAGUGACCAAAUGGCUGCACGAGGAGCUCCUUCUCCAACUCCCCUGUCAACUCCCUCAGGAGUGAGCAAAGGGCCCGGGCUGGUUGGGGGUCAGCUGUCCCCAGGGAAAGGAGGGCUGGUCGCCAGGCUCAAGUGUACAGGGCAGCUUACAUUUGUGAAUCUAUCACAGUGCUGGGCCUAUGAGCCCAAAGCUUGACUUGCCACUCACUAACUCAGUCAUUCAUUCAUUUCUUCAACAAACACUUAGUGAGCGUCUAUUACCCCAGACACUGCGCUCAACAUGGGGGUACAGAGCUGAAGAAGCAGACUGUGCCCUCAUGGAGCUCACUGCACGGUCAGCCCCCUGGGAAUGUGUCCAUUUCCCAAGGGCACGUGGCUGAUGUAUAAAAAAUAAUAUUGAUGCAUUUAUUUAUUGUGAUAUUUAUAAUUAUGGUGACAGUAGCUACACGUUGUAAAGGCUGCUAUGUACCCGCCAUUGUGCUAAGCCCUUUACGUGGGCCGUCUCAUUAAUCCUCACCACAGCCUAUGUGGCAAGCACUGUCAUUAAACCCACUUCAAAGAUGAGCCACCUGAAGCUCAGGGAAGGUAGGUAGCUUUCCAAAGGACGCCAGCUAGCAAGGAAAGGAGAUGAGAUUGAUGCCCAGGCAGGCUGGCCCCAGUCCAGGCUCUGAGCCCCCGCCCCCCCGGCCGGGUCUCUGUUUCUGCUCCUGAGCACAUUCCCUCCCUGCGGGGAGAGCUCCUGGGAAGCCGAAUGACACCCAGUUGUUGAGUGAGUUUGGCAUCCGGUGGGGGGUGGGCAUUGGGGGAUGUGGGUAACAUUGAUCGCAGGGGCUCACACUAUAAAAACUUGAUGCUCCUCUGAUGUACCUAUCUCCCCUAAAGGGACAGACCUUCGGCACAGGCUGGGCACUGGGGCUCCCAGCCCGGCAUCCCCCUCUUUCCCUUGGGGACAGCCAAGAACACUCUGCUUGGCUUCCAAGUCUGGCUAAGCAAAGGCAGUGUCCUCUCUCUUCCCUGGGCCUCCCUGGCUGUACACACACACACACACACAUUCACACGAUCCUGCACAAUCACACAAGCUCACACACCCACACAUAUGCUCACACUCAAACACACUCACAUACAGACGCAAGCAUGCACAAUGACACACAAUUCACACCUGCUCACACUCACAUGUACUCACAUACAUACACACACAACCAUGCACAAUGACACACACACACACCUACAGUCACACACACACACACACUCUUCGGAUGAGCACAUUCUCUUGUGGAUAUGGUAAUACUGUGAAUCAGGUGAAACAGACUUUGCUGCUCUCUGCUCUGACCUAUUCCGUUUGUUUUAUAGUUUGACUCUCAGAAAACUACCGUAUUUCUCUGUAUCCAGGUUCUGAGGGCCCCUCACUGUGGCUCAGAAUUCCUUUCCGCUUCUAACCCCCCCAAAUGGUUCUGUAUGGCCACUUCCCUUAACAUCCAGGACAGAUAGGAGGGGUCUUAAACGGUCCAGAGGGUUGAUAGUUUCUUUUUUUAAAAAAAAUGCACUCUCCAUGGGAGGUUGGACAGCUUUGCAUGCCGUUUUCCUUCAUCUUGGGGUUUGGGGGCUGCUGUUUGUUUUUUGUGCAGGAGAAUCUCUUCCAGCCAAAUUCUAUUAAACCGGUGCCUGGUUAGCUGCGGCCUUCUAUUCCUGCAUAAAUCUGCUGCCCGCCACCUGCUGGGCCCGUGUUGCUAGAGAGCCUUCCACUGGCAUUCCUUUCAGAUUUUUAAUUUACCACCUAACUACCAGUCCUAAUAAUCAUCAGAUAAGAGGAUUUCUGCUGUGUUGCGCUUGUUUUCAAAAAUUGCUAAUACUAUGGACCUGGAGUUAAGAGUAGCCUUAGGGAGACUUAUAAACACCCCAGGAGGCCAGACAUGCCCAGGGCCGCUGAGUUCCUCAGAUGCGACGUGCUGUAGGAGUUCCAGAGGGGAGAUUCCACUAGCUUGAGUGGGUGCAGAAGGCUUCCUGGAGGAGCUGAGAUUUCUCCUGGGCCUUUCUUAUGGAUCAAACAAUGUCCCCCCAAAAUUCAUAUGUUGACAUCCUAACCCCCAGCACCUUAGAAUGUGACCCUAUUUGAAAUAGGGCUAUUACAGAGGGAAGUAGUUAAGUUAAGAUGAAGUCAUACUGAAGUAGGGUGGGUCCCUAAUCAAUAUGACUGACGUUGUUAUAAAAAGGGGAAAUUGGAGGACAGAUGCACAGAGGGAAAUGCUAGGUGAAAAUGAAGGCAGAGGUCAGGGUGGUGAGUCCACAAGCCAAGGAAAGCCGAAGAUUACCAGUAAAACAGCAGCAGGUCGGAGAGAGGCCUGGAGCAGAGUCUCCGCCACAGGAAGAAGGGAGGAGGGGAGAUCCUCAGAAGGAAGCAUCUCUUCUGACACCUCGAUCUCAGACUUCCAGCCUCCAGGGCUGUGGGACAACACACUCCUGUUGUGUGAGCCACCUAGUCUGCGGCAUUUUGUUGUGGCAGCCCCAGCAAAUUAACAGGACCUGGAAGGACAGGUAGGAAUUUGCGAUGCACAGAGAAAGCAACCUGGCCACAAGUUGCCGAAAAUAAUAAACCUGAGCAUCCCUCACCACUACUGCCUCCCUCACUUACAAAGCUCUUAAAAAAGAUGCAGCGGAAGGAAAGAACCUCUCAGCUUGAGGACAUGUCAACAGAAACCUCCAAAUCUGAAAAGCAAAGAGAACAAAGACUGAAAACAACAGAACAGAACAUCCAAGGACCGUGGGACAACUAAAAAAGGUACAACAUACGUGGAAUGGGAGUAACAGAGGAAGAAAGAGAGCCUCUGGGCCUCAGCUCCUGUCCCUAAAUGGGAGGAAGUGGCCUUGAGAUGUGCCCUUGAGAUGUGCGCUGGGGUUCCAGCCUUAACAGGGACCUUCCCAGCUAAUCCCAGGGGGCCCUUCAGGGGGCUGUGGAGACUGAGGGCUCUGGCUCCGCCUGGCAGGGCGAUGGGAGCAGGACUUCCUGCUCAGCCAGUCCUCAGGCCAUCUACCCAUCACUGUGAGCCCUGCUAACUGGCUCUGUGUUCUUCCUGUAUACUUUGAACUUUGCAAAGAUGCUCAGGGAGCCUCCCUUGGUAUUUUCUCAUGAUCUGGCCUUCUCCUUUCACUCCAACACCCCCCACCCCAGCCACCCCAACCACACAGGGAUAUUUUUAAAAUUGUUGAUGGAAGUAAACUUGGCUCAUCCCCCAAACCUCUGGAUUCAGGCCACAGGUAAAGCUCCCAUCCAGCCACCAGCACCCCCGGCAGAGUCCCACCCCACCCCAUGUUAAGGACACAUCUGGGGACGGCCGCUCUGAUAACAGUGUCUAGGGGUCAAAUAGAAGCACCUGCUCAGCCAUAGCUCAGCUUGGUCCCCACCACUGGGCAGGCUCCCUGCCGGGAGUCCAGGGCCCAGGCACUGUGACCCCUGAGGAAGAAUUGGCCAGGGGUCAAAGCCCUGAGUAGGGAGCUGAGCCUUUGCACCUAGUGAGGAUGGAGAUGCCUGGAGUCAGAUGGCUAAGGUCCACCUUGAAGAGGGACCCCAGCCUGGAAGGCUGCUGCCCUGCAUCUUAGCCAGACCCUCAAGGCUCCUGAAUGCCCUGUCUGCACAUGAGGCUUGGUUCUUUGGGCACAGCCUGGACAGGUGGGAGCCAGUGAGCUCUCUCCAGGGGUCAGUGGGACUGUGGUGAGGGUCAGAUUCCUAGAGACAGGCUUACCAGGGCAGGGAGAUUAUGCUUGGCCAGCAAGGGAAGCCGCUGCAGUUCAAGGCAGCUGGGAAGCAAACCUCCCUUGCUUCAUCUGUAAACUGGCAAGAACCUUCCUGGGGUUGUCCUUGGAUGAAUGGGCCAACUCAGGAGAAAGUACUUCCCACUUGCCAAGUACACACGCACUUGGUAUGGGCGCAUUUUCCUCCCACUCUGCACCUGGCACCGUGUGCCGAAGCCCUGGAUUAAGGGAUGCCCGUGUUCAACUCCCAGCCCCUCUGGUCAUAGCUGUUCGUCCUCGGGAAGUCUCUUUACGUCUUCAAGCCUGUUUCCUCAUCUGUAAAGUGGGCACAAUGGCAGCGCCUACCCCCCAGGACCCGUGAGAUUUAAUGGGAGAACGCACAGUGCUCGCUGGCUCUCCCCAGAGACUAGAUGCGUGACUGCAGUUUGAGGAAGCCCCUCCUGGUGGCUACCAUUUCUGCCCUUCUCAGGCCCUGCCAGGGACAUCACAGAUGCCUGAGGGGACCUCUGGUUCUCCUGCAGAACCAGCAAAGCCCCGGUUAAGAGGGCUGAUCGGUGUCCCAGUCUUGGUCCCUGGAGAAAGGAGGCAGUGCACCCCCAGCUGUUGUCUGAGAAGACAGAGGAGCCUGAGACGGUGGCGCUGGAACCAUUGUCUCUGCCCUGCCUGCCUCUAUUUGCUGGGCUGGCGUUUAUGGACCACCUCUGGUGAGCGAUGCACUGUGGGGGAGUGAGGACCAGUGUCCUCAGGAAGGAUUCAGUGCUAGCUGGGGACGUGCACACCCAGAGAGACAAAUCACACACCACAAGGCAGCCAUCCCUCUCUUAACAAACAAGCACAAGCACAGCAAAAUGCCCCAACCAGCUUCGGCCUUAGGAGCCCAGGAUGCAAAAAUGAACGAGAUGCAGUCCUUGUCCUCGAAAUGUCCGCCGUCUGAUGAUAGAAUCCCAGUCGGCAGUUGGCUGAGUGCUCCCAGGGCUUUGCUUCCUUUGUGAUCCUCACCCCCACCCCUCAUGCACGUGGUCCUAUUACUCCCCUUUUACAGAUUACGAACCUGAGGCUCUGAAGAAAGACUGUGGCCAAGUCCUAAACAAUUGCCACUCAGUGUCCCCAGUGCUCUAACUAGAGCCUGUGCACACUGCCUUGGGGGCUGGAGACUGACUUUUCAGAGCAGUGCAGGUUGUGGUGAGGGGAGAACCCUAUCUGAGCUGCUUCUUGAAGGACUCAGAGAAUCCCCAGCAAGCACGGGAGAAGGGGAGAGGAAUUCCUAGAGCGGGAGAAGCAUGCGCAGAAGCCCCUGAGUGUAAAAGAGUAUAGCUGGGGGCAUGCACCCUUUGUUUAGUUCUAGAAUCUAAGAGGCUUUCAAGUGGUGGGAGAUGCAGCUGUGAAGGGAGGCGGGGGCAAGAUUCUAAAGAGCUUUUGAUGGCAACCUACAAAGUGGAAAUUCUGGAGGCAAUAGGGAGCCAUUGAAGGUUGUUAAGCAGGGGGAGAGAGCAUCUAAAACAUCCCAAGCCAGUAGAAGUGAGUCAUAUUGUCAGUGCCCUGGGUGAUGGGGGGAGAAGAACGUGGGUGGGUGAGCUGAGAAGUUUCCUGGAGCAGGGCACUGUCAGAAAGGAGGAUCCAGCUCAGGCCAGAACCCCAUUGAAGGCAGCAUGUUGAGAGGAAAAGGCAGUUGUCAAAUUAAGCCAUGAAGAGAGAAUGUGGAGUCUGGAGCUUUUUAGACUCAGCCUGGAUUUUCCUUGCUCCCACCUCAGAGCGGGGAACUGAAAAAGAAACAGCUAAGAGAGUGUCUGAUUUAUUGAGCUGAGUUCCUGUCUCUCUCAGGCUUUCUGGCUCUGACUUCCCCUUGAGAUUUAGAUGUUCCCCAAUUCUCCUCUGCUGAGGCCCUCCUCAGAGCCGUCCCCCAAAGAGUGAGCACGUUUCCUGCCCCCCAGCCACUGCCAACUCCGCUCAGCUCCCUGCCCAGCCCCCAGGCCCAGUUUCUGACAGCAAUCUGGGGAACUCCACGUGUCACAUCCCCUCUUCUCCCUGGGUCUAGAUUCCACAACCACCCAGAACGCAGUGUUUGUCUCCUGUUGAAGAAAAGAAAGCCUGAGUUCUUCCUUUGGCUGGGUUUUUCACCAUGACUGGUUUUCAUUAGCUUUUCAAGUGGAAAAUCAAUUCUGCCCAGUGGAAAGUUGCCACUUCUGUGCAGAGUCGUUGUUCAUUUAAUAUGUUUUAUGCGGAGUGACCCAAGUUCCAGUCUGCUGGCCGGGGCCCUGGGGAAUGUGCCUUAGAAACCUUCCCGGCAGGUACCUUUGGAGGAGCGAGGGGCCAGUUGCCUCUCGUCAAGCCUUCAGGGUUGAGGAAACCUGGGAAACCUGAGCAGUCUGCCCUCCACCGCCCAGCCCCGCAGAGCCCGGCCGCCCUUCCCAGCCUCUCCCUUCCAGUCCAAGGCCCAGCUCACCUGGCGGAGAAGCUUCUCCAGCCCCUCUGCCUCCCAGCCUCUCCUCUCCUGGAGCUCAAAGCGGGGGAAAGAGAAAACUAAAUCAGGAAAGGAAUCCAGCUGCUACAACGCCAAGCCAUGCCAAUUUCUGGACCCAGAGGGGGCCCUCCUGGACACAUCUCCCUCUAAAGGGCCAACUCUGUAGGGGCUGAGACCAAGGGCAUCUGGGGGCCCCCAGGCCAGCCCAGGGCAUUGAGUGGCAGUUUAAGAUAUGGGUGAGAAGAAGACAGACAGGCGAGAAGUAGAGACCAGGAAAAGAAACCGGAAGACAGGAAACACAGAGACAGCAGAGCAGAGAGCAACAGGAAGUGGAGAGACUUGGCCAGUGGAAGUGGAAAUGGCCGGCAGGGGCCAAGGGUGUUCAACGUUCCUUUGCCAGCUGGACUCCCCGUGCAAGGAGACGAGGAGAACUGAAGUCUCUACCAGGAAAAUUCAAGCCUGGAGAUAAUUUAAGCUUUCCUGGGCCUCUGCCAGCCAUCUCCAGGGUUUUGUCAAAUUUUCCGCUUACGACCUUUGCAUGUGGAAACUCAGCCUCCAUCUUAGAAACCCCAUCCUCAGCUCUGGCUUUUUCCAACGUUUUUGGUUAUUCAGGAGGGUUUGUGAAUGAAGAUGUGGGAUGAGGGGUUUAUAGGGACUGGCUGGAGCUAUACCCCUCCCCGCCAUGCACACUCAUUCUUGUGCAGAAGGCCCUUCUUGGGGUGGGGGCAGAGAUGGGGUAUGGGGAUGUCCUGCUUUGACCCCUAGAAGAACAGGCAUCCAGAGAGCCCCAGGGCACAUUCCCUGUUGCCUGGAAGGGCGGCUCCUCCUCAGAGUACGUCAGGAUUUUUUUCCCUACUUUAUUGUGUAAAUAUAGAACCAAAUCACACAAUAUAUAAAGUAUUCUAUAUGUAUAUAUAUUUUUCAGUUCAUGGUCUUCCCCCGUCUCCUCUAAUCCCACCCUUCUGAGGAUUACUAUUUUGAUGUGUAUCAUUGAUCUUUCUUUAAUGCUUAUGAAAACACACUGACCUACUGGCUUUUUUUCCCCAGACAAGACUAGGAUACAUAUUGUUCCUGAACUUGCUUUUUGAAGAAAUUCAGCAAUACAUCCCGGGAAUUGUUCCAGCUCAUGAAAUGUGGAUCUCACUCAUUCUUUUUCUUUUUUUUUUUGGUGAGGAAGAUUCACUCUCAGCU